rnacentral:rRNA from 1 species
AGCGAACGCUGGCGGCAGGCCUAACACAUGCAAGUCGAACGAAGUCUUCGGACUUAGUGGCGGACGGGUGAGUAACACGUGGGAACGUGCCUUUAGGUUCGGAAUAACUCAGGGAAACUUGUGCUAAUACCGGAUGUGCCCUUCGGGGGAAAGAUUUAUCGCCUUUAGAGCGGCCCGCGUCUGAUUAGCUAGUUGGUGAGGUAAAGGCUCACCAAGGCGACGAUCAGUAGCUGGUCUGAGAGGAUGAUCAGCCACAUUGGGACUGAGACACGGCCCAAACUCCUACGGGAGGCAGCAGUGGGGAAUCUUGCGCAAUGGGCGAAAGCCUGACGCAGCCAUGCCGCGUGAAUGAUGAAGGUCUUAGGAUUGUAAAAUUCUUUCACCGGGGACGAUAAUGACGGUACCCGGAGAAGAAGCCCCAGCUAACUUCGUGCCAGCCGCCGCAGUAAUAC